rnacentral:rRNA from 1 species
GACGAACGCUGGCGGCGUGCCUAACACAUGCAAGUCGAACGGAAGUAAGUGCUUCGGUAUUUACUUUAGUGGCGAACGGGUGAGUAACGCGUGAGGAACCUGCCUUUCAGUGGGGGACAACAGUUGGAAACAGCUGCUAAUACCGCAUAAUGCAACGAAAUCGCAUGACUUUGUUGCCAAAGAUUUAUCGCUCUGAGAUGGCCUCGCGUCUGAUUAGCUAGUUGGCGGGGUAACGGCCCACCAAGGCGACGAUCAGUAGCCGGACUGAGAGGUUGGCCGGCCACAUUGGGACUGAGACACGGCCCAG